rnacentral:lncRNA from 1 species
UCAGAUUCAUGGAAAAUAUAUUGAAAUGACAGUGGCCCACUUGUGCUGAUAGAUUAAAGAUACGAUGUGAAAGAAUAGCUAUCCUGCCUUCUAAUGUUGCCAAAAGAAACAAUAUAUUGUUAUUUUUUGUUUAUUCUAUUGUCAACUAUAAGCUAGGCUUCCCCGCGUGCGGUGAAAAAGCCUUCCGUCCGUCAGUCAGAGCGGAUCGCGACUGAGCAUGCAUCUCUCUCCCAGCUUCCUC